rnacentral:ncRNA from 1 species
GGGCACCCCCCCGGGGAGUGGGGAGCCUGCGGCCUUAAUCUUGCACUCCAAACACGCGAAAAAACUACCAAGGUCCGAACAUAAGUGUGUAAGAACAGAUUGAUAGCUCUUUCUCGAAUCUAUGGGUGGUGGUGCAUGGCCGUCCUUAGUUCGUGGAGUGAAUUUGUCUGGUUAAUUCCGAUAACGAACGAGACUCAAAUAUAUUAAAAUAGAUAUCUUCAGGAUUAUGGUGGUUGAAGCUUAUAUAGCCUUCAUUCAUGGUGGCAGUAAAAAUGUUUUAUUGUGUUUGAAUGUGUUUAUAUAAGUGGAGCCGUACCUGUUGGUUUGUCCCAUUAUAAGGACACUAGCUUCUUAAAUGGACAAAUUGCGUCUAGCAAUAAUGAGAUUGAGCAAUAACAGGUCUGUGAUGCCCUUAGAUGUCCUGGGCUGCACGCGCGCUACAAUGAAAGUAUCAACGUGUAUUUCCUAGACCGAGAGGUCCGGGUAAACCGCUGAACCACUUUCAUGCUUGGGAUUGUGAACUGAAACUGUUCACAUGAACUUGGAAUUCCCCAGUAAGUGUGAGUCAUUAACUCGCAUUGAUUACGUCCCUGCCCUUUGUACACACCGCCCCGUCGCUACUACCGAUUGAAUUAUUUUAGUGAGGUCUCCGGACGUGAUCACUGGUGAACGCCUUGCGUGUUUUACGGUUGUUUCGCAAAAAGUUGACCGGAACUUGAUUAUUUUAGAGGAGAGUAAAAGUCGUAACAAGGGUUUCCCCGUAGGGUGAACCCUGCGCGGAAGGAUCCAUU